AAGGGUGGCCAUACCACCCUGAUCUCACCUGAUCUCACCUGAUCUCAUCUGAUCUAAUUUGAUCUCAUCUGAUCUCGGUCGCUAAGCAGGGGCGGGCCUGGUUAGUACUUGGAUGGGAAACAGCCUGGGAAUACAAAGGUGCUGUAAACU
rnacentral:rRNA from 1 species